rnacentral:rRNA from 1 species
UACGGAGGGUGCAAGCGUUAUCCGGAUUCACUGGGUUUAAAGGGCGCGUAGGCGGCGGGGUAAGUCGGGUGUGAAAUCUCAGAGCUCAACUCUGAAACUGCACUCGAUACUGCUCUGCUUGAGGACUGGAGAGGAGACUGGAAUUCACGGUGUAGCAGUGAAAUGCGUAGAUAUCUGGAGGAACACCGGUGGCGAAGGCGGCAUCCUGGACCGACACUGACACUGAGGAGCGAAAGCCAGGGGAGCAAACGGG